AAAAUGAUGCAGCCUCGCCAAAUACUGCAUUCGUCUCAAUUUUGGCAGGUUUAAAUACUGCAGAUAUGUGGGGAGCUAAUUUUCUGUAAUGCCAUUUUUUGUUGUAUCAUUAAUCAACAUUGGAGCCUAACUUCGUAACAUAUCAUGUUAUGAUUGCUUGAUCUAGAAAGGCAGAUGGAUGCUUGUUACUACUGUAUUUGAGUAAAUUUGCCAAUUGCCAUGACUGCCAUGCACUGAAUCAUAGAUCAAGCUUUUUCUCUUACUAAUUGUAUUUCCAUGACUCAUGAUCACGGGACAUUAUCCAUCUUCCUAGGCUGUUUCGCUUUCUGCAGAAGCACAUAGCACAAUUCAUAUCGGUAGUGAGAGCACCAAAGACUAAGAAGGGUUAUGCAUCCAUAGGCUGAGGUUGUCCUCUCCGACAAAUUACUGAUGCGCAGAGAUUUGGAAUAGAGAAGAAACAUGUUAGCAGGAAGUGAACUGAGCUCAAGAGGUGACCAUUGUUUUAAGGUGCAUACUUGGUGAAGAGGAGAACCGGAGAGGCUUGAAUCUGGAGGCUGUGAUUUUUCUAUGAUGAUAUAAGAAAGGUGCCCAGGACCUUUUUGCAAGACAAGAGGAACGUGGCAUGGUUUGAGGUGAAACACUUCAUAUUGAAAGUUUCUUUAAGCUAUUUGGUUCCUUUUUGCAAAUAAAUGCACACAUCCUAUCUUGGUUAUGCCAAAUAUUCCUUCCAUGGCAAAUAAGCUGUAGCAUAGGUUGCAAAUAACCUUGAUAUAGCCGAUAAUUUGAUUUGCAGAUUGCUGUGGAUAAACUAACAUGCUCUCCAAAUGUAGUAUGUCACAAUUUAUUGUAAUACUUCCAAAAAUAUUUUUAAAAUGCUUGUUGUAAUAAAAUAUUUAGUGGGUA